rnacentral:rRNA from 1 species
AAUGAGAGUUUGAUCCUGGCUCAGGACGAACGCUGGCGGCGUGCCUAAUACAUGCAAGUAGAACGCUGAGGUUUGGUGUUUACACUAGACUGAUGAGUUGCGAACGGGUGAGUAACGCGUAGGUAACCUACCUCAUAGCGGGGGAUAACUAUUGGAAACGAUAGCUAAUACCGCAUGACAAUAGGGUACACAUGUACCCUAUUUAAAAGGGGCAAUUGCUUCACUAUGAGAUGGACCUGCGUUGUAUUAGCUAGUUGGUAAGGUAACGGCUU